rnacentral:rRNA from 1 species
UUAAGCGACUAAGCGUACACGGUGGAUGCCCUGGCAGUCAGAGGCGAUGAAGGACGUGCUAAUCUGCGAUAAGCGUCGGUAAGGUGAUAUGAACCGUUAUAACCGGCGAUUUCCGAAUGGGGAAACCCAGUGUGAUUCGUCACACUAUCAUUAACUGAAUCCAUAGGUUAAUGAGGCGAACCGGGGGAACUGAAACAUCUAAGUACCCCGAGGAAAAGAAAUCAACCGAGAUUCCCCCAGUAGCGGCGAGCGAACGGGGAGCAGCCCAGAGCCUGAAUCAGUGUGUGUGUUAGUGGAAGCGUCUGGAAAGGCGUGCGAUACAGGGUGACAGCCCCGUACACAAAAAUGCACAUGCUGUGAGCUCGAUGAGUAGGGCGGGACACGUGGUAUCCUGUCUGAAUAUGGGGGGACCAUCCUCCAAGGCUAAAUACUCCUGACUGACCGAUAGUGAACCAGUACCGUGAGGGAAAGGCGAAAAGAACCCCGGCGAGGGGAGUGAAAAAGAACCUGAAACCGUGUACGUACAAGCAGUGGGAGCACGCUUAGGCGUGUGACUGCGUACCUUUUGUAUAAUGGGUCAGCGACUUAUAUUCUGUAGCAAGGUUAACCGAAUAGGGGAGCCGAAGGGAAACCGAGUCUUAACUGGGCGUUAAGUUGCAGGGUAUAGACCCGAAACCCGGUGAUCUAGCCAUGGGCAGGUUGAAGGUUGGGUAACACUAACUGGAGGACCGAACCGACUAAUGUUGAAAAAUUAGCGGAUGACUUGUGGCUGGGGGUGAAAGGCCAAUCAAACCGGGAGAUAGCUGGUUCUCCCCGAAAGCUAUUUAGGUAGCGCCUCGUGAAUUCAUCUCCGGGGGUAGAGCACUGUUUCGGCAAGGGGGUCAUCCCGACUUACCAACCCGAUGCAAACUGCGAAUACCGGAGAAUGUUAUCACGGGAGACACACGGCGGGUGCUAACGUCCGUCGUGAAGAGGGAAACAACCCAGACCGCCAGCUAAGGUCCCAAAGUCAUGGUUAAGUGGGAAACGAUGUGGGAAGGCCCAGACAGCCAGGAUGUUGGCUUAGAAGCAGCCAUCAUUUAAAGAAAGCGUAAUAGCUCACUGGUCGAGUCGGCCUGCGCGGAAGAUGUAACGGGGCUAAACCAUGCACCGAAGCUGCGGCAGCGACACUAUGUGUUGUUGGGUAGGGGAGCGUUCUGUAAGCCUGUGAAGGUGUACUGUGAGGUAUGCUGGAGGUAUCAGAAGUGCGAAUGCUGACAUAAGUAACGAUAAAGCGGGUGAAAAGCCCGCUCGCCGGAAGACCAAGGGUUCCUGUCCAACGUUAAUCGGGGCAGGGUGAGUCGACCCCUAAGGCGAGGCCGAAAGGCGUAGUCGAUGGGAAACAGGUUAAUAUUCCUGUACUUGGUGUUACUGCGAAGGGGGGACGGAGAAGGCUAUGUUGGCCGGGCGACGGUUGUCCCGGUUUAAGCGUGUAGGCUGGUUUUCCAGGCAAAUCCGGAAAAUCAAGGCUGAGGCGUGAUGACGAGGCACUACGGUGCUGAAGCAACAAAUGCCCUGCUUCCAGGAAAAGCCUCUAAGCAUCAGGUAACAUCAAAUCGUACCCCAAACCGACACAGGUGGUCAGGUAGAGAAUACCAAGGCGCUUGAGAGAACUCGGGUGAAGGAACUAGGCAAAAUGGUGCCGUAACUUCGGGAGAAGGCACGCUGAUAUGUAGGUGAAGUCCCUCGCGGAUGGAGCUGAAAUCAGUCGAAGAUACCAGCUGGCUGCAACUGUUUAUUAAAAACACAGCACUGUGCAAACACGAAAGUGGACGUAUACGGUGUGACGCCUGCCCGGUGCCGGAAGGUUAAUUGAUGGGGUCAGCGCAAGCGAAGCUCUUGAUCGAAGCCCCGGUAAACGGCGGCCGUAACUAUAACGGUCCUAAGGUAGCGAAAUUCCUUGUCGGGUAAGUUCCGACCUGCACGAAUGGCGUAAUGAUGGCCAGGCUGUCUCCACCCGAGACUCAGUGAAAUUGAACUCGCUGUGAAGAUGCAGUGUACCCGCGGCAAGACGGAAAGACCCCGUGAACCUUUACUAUAGCUUGACACUGAACAUUGAGCCUUGAUGUGUAGGAUAGGUGGGAGGCUUUGAAGUGUGGACGCCAGUCUGCAUGGAGCCGACCUUGAAAUACCACCCUUUAAUGUUUGAUGUUCUAACGUUGACCCGUAAUCCGGGUUGCGGACAGUGUCUGGUGGGUAGUUUGACUGGGGCGGUCUCCUCCUAAAGAGUAACGGAGGAGCACGAAGGUUGGCUAAUCCUGGUCGGACAUCAGGAGGUUAGUGCAAUGGCAUAAGCCAGCUUGACUGCGAGCGUGACGGCGCGAGCAGGUGCGAAAGCAGGUCAUAGUGAUCCGGUGGUUCUGAAUGGAAGGGCCAUCGCUCAACGGAUAAAAGGUACUCCGGGGAUAACAGGCUGAUACCGCCCAAGAGUUCAUAUCGACGGCGGUGUUUGGCACCUCGAUGUCGGCUCAUCACAUCCUGGGGCUGAAGUAGGUCCCAAGGGUAUGGCUGUUCGCCAUUUAAAGUGGUACGCGAGCUGGGUUUAGAACGUCGUGAGACAGUUCGGUCCCUAUCUGCCGUGGGCGCUGGAGAAU